UGUUCAGCAAGGACAGGCUUACUAGCUAUCAUUUUAGUCUUGUUGGGUGAACGUACUAAGGGCUUAUUUGUGUGCUAUAGGGUCCUCCAGGUCAAUGGAUGGUGGCAGAUGUUCAAUCAUACCAGUGGAAAACAGAACGGACCAGUGGAAAACAGAAUGGACCAGUGGAAAACAGAAGGUGCCCCUCUAGCCUUGAGAAGAGGGAGGAGUGCCUGAGUGCUGGUGGACAGGGGUCUGCUCUGCUGCAAAUAGGCAUCCACUUCGUCAAAGUGGGAGCCUGAGCCCUGGCAGAGUUUUCCAAUGUGUGCCUACCCCCAAAACUUCAGGCACAGGAUGAGGGAGGGAGCAACGUUGACUGUUUUGAGAAACUACAAGUUGUUGAUGGCAAUUCUGAUAUCUCCGAUAGUUGUUGCUGCUUCUCCACCCAACACAGCAGGCCACUGGUCUCCUGGACAGGCACGAGUUCAUUCAGUGGAGGGUUCUGAGGAGGCCUUUCUCUGCACAGCCUCUGGUUUGAAAAAUCCAGCUUCCACUUGGCCCCCAUACUCAUCUCACCAGCCCUUUCCUUUGGCAAAUUCAACCAACAGACUUUUUUGAAAUUGGGAUUUCAUGCCCUUUUUGGAGAUAUCUGCAAGAAGGCCUUUGCCCCAUCAUCUCUUCUGGCAUCCACACAAUGGAGGGAAAUCUAAAUAUCUCUGCAAAUAAAAUGGUGGGAAAUUCAGAUGUCCCUGCUAUUCCCUCUCCUCCUUAAGCCAUGUCUCUCCUGCAACUUUCUCCUUUGCCCAGUUAGUAUCAGACACUCUGCUGGUCCAAUAGGAAGCAAUUUUAAGACAAGAGAUCAUUGUCAGCACCUCACCAAGUUGAGAGGGAGAAACAGAUGGCUCUGACAUCCCCAAAUGUACAGGAAAAGGAAAGAAACAAAUCCAAGGUUCUUCUCGCCUGUGGAGCAGAGUCAGAAGGAAUAGUUUCCACGAUAUGAAUCCUGCUUUCUCCCAGAAGCCAUCCUCUUCCUCUCUCCUGAUCCCCUCUCAGUGUGGCUCACACUUAAAAACUGUGAAACAGUUUGGUCCUUCUAACAGUAGGAAGGCAAGGAUUAGAAAUUUUAUGGCCCAAAACCAGGCUGUUGGCCUUGGAGAAUUUAGUAAUUUUAUUAACAAGGUUCUAUGUCCACUGUAUUUGCUACACUUGUCAACCUCUGGGGAUGGAAAAAGAUACUAGUAAUAACAGGCAACAUUUUGAAAUGGCACAAUCGCCACCUUAUAAUGCUCUGUUGCAUUAUUUUUCUAAGAUUGGAGGGAAAAAUAACCUUUUUUUUUUUCUUCAUCAAAACUGACCAUAGUCAAAUCUGCCUUCCAAGGUGGAAGAACAGGGAGAGGAAAUAAUUCACGUUACUGGGGAAAUCAUCGCUCUGCUGCCCUCUUUCAAUUGCAGAGACUGGUGGGCGACGAGGACAGACCUAAAGGCAAUGGUUUAGCGGAACAAGAGUACAUUCGUUUGUCUUGGGAGCUGUAGGAAGAUCCCCAGAGCAGAGACUGAGGAUAGGGUCUGUUUCCGUUUCUGCGGGGGAAGCUACUGAAGUAAAGAAGAGAGCAAAAAACGAUAACAGAAAAGCAACACUAUGGUGGCUGAUUUUCUUUCCAUUUACGAUGUUUGCUCUGCUACGAUCUCCACCUGUAUUCUCAAAUACGCAGUAAAGACUGCUUCACAGAAAUGCCCCCAGGAGGUGGGGUGUUUUGUUUUUUUUCAUACAAUUCAAAGAAAAGGGAAUAAGCAUGGUAUUUGGUUCAGCAUGGGGUAGAGAGAAGGGAACUUUCAUGGGGAUGAGAGGCUAGGACUAUGGAACGAGUUCUCCCAGGAAGUAGGAGCCAGCCCUGAACUGACAUUAAUCCCCAGAAAGAUGCAGAAAUCUUGGAGAAGACAGAGAACAGAGGGUCUGCAUUGACAUCUGGGUUUUAUUAUUAAAAAUAAAAUACUGUUGCUGUUCUUGGUAUUCUCUAUUAAGGGAGCCAAAGAGAACACACACGACACAGGUCCCAAUAGCAUUAAAGCCCCAUGGCCCCUAUAUCUGAGCCAGGCACUCGUGACAGGUAUCACUACCAGCUCUCUACCUGCCCCUAGCAAACACUUCCUUUUAUUCAAACUCAAGGUCACAUGGUGAAAAGCCUGGACAAUGAGGCUAUUUCCUGGGGCUGACAUAUGAGUAGCCAGGCUCACCCCAUGCCAGUUGCUACAAGUGGCUACUAAGGUUCUUCAAUCUUAAUCGAAUAGAGGGGGAGCAGCAGGUGCCCUCAAGAAGGCCCUUCCUCAUCCAGAAACUGAAAUCGGUCACAGAGCACGGUGGCUCCACAGAGUUGAGAAUAUCUGAGCUAAUGUGCACUAUUGUGGGGCAUGCGGACCCCGGGUCCUGCUGACCCACUGGGCAAGAAAACCUGUCCUGCCCCAUGGGACCAGCGCUGUGUGGCCUGCUUCUCUGUGUAGGAAGCAAAUUCAGUGGAAAGAACGUUGGCCCAUUACAGACGUAAAAUGUACUUACUU